rnacentral:rRNA from 1 species
ACCGCAGGUUCUUGGCUGAAAGAUGGCGUAAGCUAUCGCUUUUGGAUGGACCCGCGGCGUAUUAGCUAGUUGGUGAGGUAAUGGCUCACCAAGGCGAUGAUACGUAGCCGAACUGAGAGGUUGAUCGGCCACAUUGGGACUGAGACACGGCCCAAACUCCUACGGGAGGCAGCAGUAGGGAAUCUUCCACAAUGGACGCAAGUCUGAUGGAGCAACGCCGCGUGAGUGAAGAAGGCUUUCGGGUCGUAAAACUCUGUUGUUGGAGAAGAAUGGUCGGCAGAGUAACUGUUGYCGGCGUGACGGUAUCCAACCAGAAAGCCACGGCUAACUACGUGCCAGCAGCCGCGGUAAUACGUAGGUGGCAAGCGUUAUCCGGAUUUAUUGGGCGUAAAGCGAGCGCAGGCGGUUUUUUAAGUCUGAUGUGAAAGCCCUCGGCUUAACCGAGGAAGCGCAUCGGAAACUGGGAAACUUGAGUGCAGAAGAGGACAGUGGAACUCCAUGUGUAGCGGUGAAAUGCGUAGAUAUAUGGAAGAACACCAGUGGCGAAGGCGGCUGUCUGGUCUGUAACUGACGCUGAGGCUCGAAAGCAUGGGUAGCGAACAGGAUUAGAUACCCUGGUAGUCCAUGCCGUAAACGAUGAAUGCUAGGUGUUGGAGGGUUUCCGCCCUUCAGUGCCGCAGCUAACGCAUUAAGCAUUCCGCCUGGGGAGUACGACCGCAAGGUUGAAACUCAAAGGAAUUGACGGGGGCCCGCACAAGCGGUGGAGCAUGUGGUUUAAUUCGAAGCAACGCGAAGAACCUUACCAGGUCUUGACAUCUUUUGAUCACCUGAGAGAUCAGGUUUCCCCUUCGGGGGCAAAAUGACAGGUGGUGCAUGGUUG